UCGGAAAAUUGACACUUUUUUCAUAUGUUCAAAAAUUUGAAUAUUAAAAGUAACGGUUAUAAAAAAAGUGUUUAUUUUAGUUACUUGGGAUGUCAAAAACUUGGCUUCACCUUUGUUUGGGUGUAAAUAGUGAUCAUAUGGUGUUUACAGUUACAAACACCUGUUGUACUUAGUUCAUCUAUUUUGUAAAGCAAAUCUUGAAAUUAGUGGAGUAGAAAAAAAAAGGUUAAAAAAGUUUAGUCUACAUUUUUGUUGAUUUUAGUUGUGAAAAUGACCACCUCUUUAAAAAACUGUGACAUAUUUUUGGAAUGGUUAGAAGUAAAGGAUCAAAGUAUGUCAUAUGUUCUGGCAAAACUUAAAGAAUUUAUUGAGGAUCGAAUUGGAAGGAAAAUGACGGGCGAAGAACACAUAAAGGUUAAAAAUAUUUGCUACAAAUUGUCUUCUACGUGGAAAAAAUACUAUCGAAAGAGGGAUAAAGUAGAAAUGGUCUUAAAAGAUUGGUUUCUUAUGGAUACGUUUAAAUUUGAUUCGGAACCUGAUAAGUCUACAUCAAGAGGUCGACCACGCAUUAACUUUGAGGAAAGUUCAUGUAGAACAAAAAGGCGACGUGUAGGUGAACUUGUUGCAUCUACUUCGGCGGACAUCAUAACAACAGCU